rnacentral:lncRNA from 1 species
GGAGAGUAGAGGAAAGACAGGAGACGGUUGUUGGCAAGGGCAGGGCGACCGUCCGGCCGAGGCCCGACGUGCUGGGCUGGGGGGUGGGCGGUGCCCACUUGAAGUUCAAGGUCAUAAACUUAACUGGAGCCAAUCCAAAUCCACUGCCCAAGCAAAAGCGUAUCUAAGAAAAAGAAAAAUAACUCGAAGCCUCCAAGACACAUAAAAUCCAGAAUGGACUGACAACGGUGAAGAAGGGUAGAGCUUUUCAGAAAGAUGACCCUCGAUUCAGGGCUUAGCCAUUCUGGUACAUGGAGCCAAGUUCAUUUUACACGCAACUGACUUACGAGUGUCUCAUAACUCUGGACUCGUAACGGACACCACAAAAGCCCGUUCAAUGUCCAGUUGCUGGGAUGAGCCUAGUGGACAAAACGUCAAGCCAAUGGCAUGAGGACUGUGGUUUCAAUCAAGACCUGUCCCCCCAGAGCAGGGCUGCCCCAGCCCAUCCAUCUGGCAUCUCCGAGUCUCGGCAUCUUCUCUGAAAAUGAGAAUCAGAAGGUGUGUGAGCAAAGUUUGUUGUGUUAAUCGAAAAUAUGUUAAUUUUCUGCAUUUCAAUAACUUCAAGCUUAGCCUGAGAACCUUCCAAGCUGUAGAAAACCUCCUUGACUAAGAGUCCACCUGCACAAGGACCUCCGUCCUUCUGAACACAAACGAGCUGGAAUAGACCGUAAAGAAGGAGGGGGACCCUGGGGCCAGGAAGCUGGUCCUUCACAAGCAGGUCAGUGGUGGGGAUGCAGCUGGGGGCACAUGACACGAUGACAUUUCAUCUGGGUCUGAAAUACUCAGGCCCAGGCCCCUGAGAGUCCUGCAAACAGCGAAUCAGAAGGACCGCAGAGACUGAACAGGUGGUCCCUGAGCAGGUGGCUCUUGGCUGCUUGGAUGAGGGAGGGGAGAGGAGAGAGAAGAUGCUGGGGGCCACCCCAGGGGCCCUGCGCUGGAGACAGGUCCCGGGGCCCAGACUGUCUCACCCGAGAUGCAUCUUCCAUAACCUCCUUGGCAAGUCAGUCCUGAGCAUGAGCCUAGAGAAACCCCUUCACCAGGCCUGCCGUGGAGAAGGCCCUUCAAAGCCCCCCUCAGAAGAACGAGAAGCAUCCAAUGCUCCAUCAGUGGUGCCAUUACUAAUCAAAUUUAAAAGGAUUAAUGAGGGACCUCCCGUCAUGGCGCAGCGGACACGAAUCCGACUAGGAACCAUAAGGUUUUCGGUUCGAUCCCAGGCCCCGCUCAAUGGGUUAAGGAUCCAGCGUUGCCAUGAGCUGUGGUGUAGGUCGUGGACGCGGCUUGAAUCUGGCGUUACUGUGGCUGUGCCACAAGCUGACAGCUAUAGCUCCGAUAAGACCCCGAGUCUGGGAACCUCCACAUGCUGCAAGUGUGGCCCUAAAAAGACAAAAAGACUAAAAUAAAAUAAAAAGUUUAGUGAGUAAAGAAAUAAAGUAGGAAAGCCUCUUGGAGGAAAGAAUGAAAGAUCUGUGUUAUAGUGACAAUGACAGAAAUGAAAAGCAUUUUGCCAAGAUUUUGCACCUGUGACAAGCCAGGCCAAGUCACAGGCUUCGAAAAGAAUGGGCUCUUUUGGACGGGCGUGUCUGCACACCGAGGUCUAACCACUGGGGCAGUUCUACCCUAUUAGGUGAAGAAGAAACCCCCUCAUCUUGUUGUGGCUUGUGCCGCCCUGCAGGGCUGGGAUUGGGCAGAGAAAGCCUGUGUUUACGUGCGACUUUAAUUUGAUUUACUGUCCCUGACAAGCCCGCCUGAACCCAGCGCUCUGUCUCAGCAGGGUCCCUGCCUCGCCUCUCCUGCUCUGCAAGAACUCGAAAGCAGGAGCUGGCAGGUGGAUGCCGAGGGGGACUUCGCCUCCCUUCAUGCUUGCCCAGGGCAAGUGGAACCAAGCCCGACUGCUUCAGAACCUUUCCUGGGCACGGGCUAAAGGCGCUUGGUGUCACGGUGUCACUGGAGGUGGCCUGAGGGGCAGACAGAUUCACCAGCGAUGGCUGCAUCUUGGGAGCUCAGCUCUGUGAAGCGGCAGUGUCAGCCCCGUGCGAGCUCCCCGCCAUCUGGGGAGGGGACACUGUGCUUGGAAAGUCAGAAGACAGAAAAGCAUCUGCGCCCUCCUCCUCCCGAGGCCCUCAGUGUCCUGCCUCCUCUCUGAGGCUGUCUGUGUUCGAACCUGCCCUGGGCCCUGUCACCGGAACAAAAGAUGGAAUUUCGCAUUUCUACCUCCUCAUUUCCUAGAAUUUCAGCUGCCUUCAUGGUUCUCC